rnacentral:lncRNA from 1 species
GUUGCUGACCUGACCAGCUUGAGGCUUGCGCCACCCUGGUGGCGCUGGUUGGGGGCUGGUAGGAGGACGUCCGCUCUAAGAACAGAAGGGAAGUCAAGGGGCUCCCUGGACGGCACGGAGCGGUUCUUCUCGUCACUCACCCAUCCCCACCUGGGUUCGGUCAUCGUCCAUUGUUGGCCCCGCGCACUACCAUUUUCUUCUUAGAUUUCUUCCCAUUCUUACUGUGCCCCGCUCUUAACUCGUCAG